rnacentral:tRNA from 1 species
UGCCUGGUGGCCCAGUGGUUAAGACUCUGCACUUCCAAUGCAGGAGACACAGGUUUGAUUCCUGAUUGGGGAA